rfam:Dipodomys ordii contig_87036, whole genome shotgun sequence.
UGGCUCAGUGGUAGAGCACUUGCCUUGCAUGUAUGAGGCCCUGGGUUCGAUUCCUCAG